rnacentral:lncRNA from 1 species
UCCUAUUCUAUUGUUGUCUGAAGUAAUAUCAAUAAUAUCAUAUAUUUGUGUGUGUGUGUGUGUGUGUGUGUGUGUCUUACAGGUAAAAAACAUGCUCCCAAAGGUUGACAGGGAAAGGGUGGCCAACUUCAUGUGCCACAACAUCCAGACGGCAGACAAAUAUUAUGCCAUGAAUUUAAAUCCAACCCAAGCAAAUGAAACCAGGGCACUCUUUGAGGCUGCACUGAAGGGGGAAGAUAACACAGUCGCCGCAGAGAACCAGCCCUCCACCUCAGGAGAAAGAAAGCAGAAGGUGAGAGAGGAUGCCUCCCUCUCCGACGGGAGCACCACCCCUGAAGAGACCAAGGUGAUGUACCAGGAGUCUGGCACGUCCGCCGGUGACUCGGAAGAGGAGGAAGAGGAUGAAGAUGAGGAACAGAUGGCCAGACAACUUCCAGAGACACCUUCCAAGGUGACCAAUCCUCAGGUGGAGAUGGAACUUACCCCAAAGAGGAAGCGGAGCAUCUGCACACGCCGCAUGGAGGUCGCCAUCAGCCCCAUGCUAGUCUCACCCCUCAAAGUGAGGCUCAAGUCGCCCCCCCACCAGUCCCUCAUUGUCACAUUAAAAGGGAUGCAACAACUAAACUCAAAUAAAGUCAGACUAAAAAAUGCCAUUGCCUCAAGGAGGUUAAAGCUGCAGGAGAAGGUGCAAAAGAGAGGAGGGGACCCCUGAUGCAGCUCGAAGGAAGGGGAGCCGACCAACAACAAGACUUCCUCUUCCAAAUAGUCAUGUAGAUUGUUUUAGACUCUCACAUUUAUACUGUUCUGAUUUUGUUUGGUUUGAUUUUCAAUUUUGGUGUGCUUGUUUACAUUUUAGAAGUGUAAAAUGUGUGUAAUUUAGUCUAACUGUCUGUUCAAUUUUCUAUUUUGGUGUGAUUCUUUAUAAUGUAAAGGUUUGUUCUGUUUUAUUAAAUAACUAGUUUAGUAAUUAUUUGUGUUGUGCUUUCUUUAAGGUUAUAUUCUAACUGUCUGUUCAAUAUUCUAUUUUGGUGU